CUGACUUUUUCAUAAACCAUGAACUAGGCGGGGAAAUAGGACCUGUGAGAUGUGUGUUCCUGCUGAGGAAUCUCUCUUCUCUUCCUGAGCCCCACCCCUUCUGUAAGUAGUCAGAGAUUCAAAGAAGGCUUAAGAAGCGUCAAGAAGAUUAAGGCAGAGCCUCAAGAAAGUCACAAUCUAAAGUUGAUUCCUUUGGCAACCAGCCUUCAUCCUGAAGCUAUCUAGGGGUCCAUCAAGAGUCACCUCAUUAGCAUAAACUCAGGUUCCUGCAAAUCAGCAGACCCUAGAUUGUUGAUACUACCAACUCUACCAUGAAUUUGAACCUCUGCUAAGCAACUCUGUUGAGUUUUGUCUUUUCUCUGCACUGAGGUAGGUACAGAUGCAGGUCACUGUGGGACAA
rnacentral:lncRNA from 13 species